UACGUAGGGUGCAAGCGUUGUCCGGAAUUAUUGGGCGUAAAGAGCUCGUAGGCGGUCUGUCGCGUCGGCUGUGAAAACUGGAGGCUCAACCUCCAGCCUGCAGUGGGUACGGGCAGACUAGAGUACUGCAGGGGAGACUGGAAUUCCUGGUGUAGCGGUGAAAUGCGCAGAUAUCAGGAGGAACACCGGUGGCGAAGGCGGGUCUCUGGGCAGUAACUGACGCUGAGGAGCGAAAGCGUGGGGAGCGAACAGG
rnacentral:rRNA from 1 species